rnacentral:rRNA from 1 species
CCUACGGGAGGCAGCAGUGAGGAAUAUUGGUCAAUGGACGAGAGUCUGAACCAGCCAAGUCGCGUGAAGGAUGACUGCCCUAUGGGUUGUAAACUUCUUUUAUAUGGGAGUAAAACAGGGUAUGCAUACCCUCUUGUAUGUACCAUAUGAAUAAGGAUCGGCUAACUCCGUGCCAGCAGCCGCGGUAAUACGGAGGAUCCGAGCGUUAUCCGGAUUUAUUGGGUUUAAAGGGAGCGUAGGUGGAUUGUUAAGUCAGUUGUGAAAGUUUGCGGCUCAACCGUAAAAUUGCAGUUGAAACUGGCAGUCUUGAGUACAGUAGAGGUGGGCGGAAUUCGUGGUGUAGCGGUGAAAUGCUUAGAUAUCACGAAGAACUCCGAUUGCGAAGGCAGCUUACUGGACUGCAACUGACACUGAUGCUCGAAAGUGUGGGUAUCAAACAGGAUUAGAUACCCCAGUAGUC